rnacentral:rRNA from 1 species
UGGGGAAUAUUGCGCAAUGGGGGGAACCCUGACGCAGCCAUGCCGCGUGAAUGAAGAAGGCCUUAGGGUUGUAAAGUUCUUUCGGUAUUGAGGAAGGUUGAUGUGUUAAUAGCACAUCAAAUUGACGUUAAAUACAGAAGAAGCACCGGCUAACUCCGUGCCAGCAGCCGCGGUAAUACGGAGGGUGCGAGCGUUAAUCGGAAUAACUGGGCGUAAAGGGCACGCAGGCGGUUAUUUAAGUGAGGUGUGAAAGCCCCGGGCUUAACCUGGGAAUUGCAUUUCAGACUGGGUAACUAGAGUACUUUAGGGAGGGGUAGAAUUCCACGUGUAGCGGUGAAAUGCGUAGAGAUGUGGAGGAAUACCGAAGGCGAAGGCAGCCCCUUGGGAAUGUACUGACGCUCAUGUGCGAAAGCGUGGGGAGCAAACGGGAUUAGAUACCCUGGUAGUCCACGCUGUAAACGCUGUCGAUUUGGGGGUUGGGGUUUAACUCUGGCGCCCGUAGCUAACGUGAUAAAUCGACCGCCUGGGGAGUACGGCCGCAAGGUUA